GAUCCUGGCUACAGAACGAACGCUGGCGGCGCGUUUAAGCAUGCAAGUCGAGCGGCAAGGGCCUUCGGGCCCUAGAGCGGCGGACGGGUGAGUAACACGUGGACAAUCUGCCCCCCGGCCCGGGAUAGCCCAGGGAAACCUGGAUUAAUACCGGAUGAGACGGGACCCGCGAUGGCGGGAUCCGGGAAAGGCGCUGCGGCGCCGCCGGGGGAUGAGUCUGCGUCCCAUUAGCUAGACGGCGGGGUAACGGCCCACCGUGGCGACGAUGGGUAGCCGGCCUGAGAGGGUGGACGGCCACAUUGGAACUGAGACACGGUCCAGACUCCUACGGGAGGCAGCAGCUAAGAAUCUUCCGCAAUGGGCGAAAGCCUGACGGAGCCGACGCCGCGUGAACGAAGAAGGCCGUGAGGUUGUAAAGUUCUUUUCGGGAGGGGGAACAACCGUGGCAGGGAAUGGCCGCGGGAUGACGUGAAUCCCGGAAUAAGCCCCGGCUAACUACGUGCCAGCCGCGGC
rnacentral:rRNA from 1 species